GGGGUUGUAGCUCAGUGAUAGAGCCAUGCUUAGCAUGUAUGAGAUCCUGGGUUCAACCCUCAAUACCUCCG
rnacentral:tRNA from 1 species